AUUGAACGCUGGCGGCAGGCCUAACACAUGCAAGUCGAGCGGAUGAAGGGAGCUUGCUCCUGGAUUCAGCGGCGGACGGGUGAGUAAUGCCUAGGAAUCUGCCUGGUAGUGGGGGAUAACGUCCGGAAACGGGCGCUAAUACCGCAUACGUCCAGAGGGAGAAAGUGGGGGAUCUUCGGACCUCACGCUAUCAGAUGAGCCUAGGUCGGAUUAGCUAGUUGGUGGGGUAAAGGCCUACCAAGGCGACGAUCCGUAACUGGUCUGAGAGGAUGAUCAGUCACACUGGAACUGAGACACGGUCCAGACUCCUACGGGAGGCAGCAGUGGGGAAUAUUGGACGAUGGGCGAAAGCCUGAUCCAGCCAUGCCGCGUGUGUGAAGAAGGUCUUCGGAUUGUAAAGCACUUUAAGUUGGGAGGAAGGGCAGUAAGUUAAUACCUUGCUGUUUUGACGGUACCAACAGAAUAAGCACCGGCUAACUUCGUG
rnacentral:rRNA from 1 species